GAUGAAGAACGCAGCGAAAUGCGAUAAGUAAUGUGAAUUGCAGAAUUCAGUGAAUCAUCGAAUCUUUGAACGCACCUUGCGCCCUUUGGCCAUUCCGAAGGGCAUGCCUGUUUGAGUAUCAUGAACACCUCAACUCUUCAUGGUUUUCCGUGAUGAGCUUGGACUUUGGGGGUCUUGCUGGCCUAUGGUCAGCUCCUCUAAAAUAAAUCAGCUCGCCAGUGUUUGGUGGGUAUCACAGGUGUGAUAACUAUCUACGCUUGUGGUUUUCCACCAGGUAACCUUCAGCAGUGGAGGUUCGCUGGAGCUCACAGAUGUGUCUCUCCUCAGUGAGGACAGCUCUUUGAAUGUUUGAUCUCAAAUCAGGUAGGACUACCCGCUGAACUUAAGCAUAUCAAUAAGCGGAGGA
rnacentral:misc_RNA from 1 species